GUAUGCUUAAAGUUCAUAACUCAACGUAAUAUUCAGAUUUCAGCAGCUAAUCACCAAAUUCAACUACUUUAUGCUCCUUUUGUCUCAAUUUAAAUGCUCUUUACGAAAAUUCGUGCAAUUUUAAACCCAAAAAAUAUAUAUUUCUAUAUAUUUUUAUUUUUAUUUUCUUACACCAAAUUAAAAUAUAUUGCCGAGAAUAACUAUAAUUUGGUUCUUCACCUCCGAGGUCACCCCACAUCCAGAUAAGCUACGAGUACGUUCACUCACUCUCCUGUGGUAACUGGUAACCCAGAGCUGCUUUUCUUCUCAAUAUGAAAUGUGUUGUUUGCACAGGGAAAUGGAGAAGAAAUCCAGCGGUAAAUACGGCAGGGAGCAAUCCCACCGUCACCUCCAAGCUAAGCCCUGGUUAAUUGGCUGCUGAUCGACUUCGCUUCGUUCACUCGAAAAGAAGGGAAUCCGGAUCCGUAAGUGACCGUAUUCCCCGCGAAAACGCAAUGAGGAGUAGCAACUAUGACUGAACUUCCCUAGUAUAGCCCGAGGGUUCUAUCAGCUGACUUUAGAUGCUUCCUUGGGUCAGAGCUGUCUGGAAGGAGAUGUUGCGAAGGAACCACAUUCACAGAGGCCCACUUAUGUGGGGAGAUGAAAAGAAAUGGUUCUUGCUGCAUUCUAAGGGGAAGAUUAAUAGGAAAUCUAUUAUCAAAUUAUCACUGGCUGCUACUGUUUAUGGAGUUUGAUGUAAGCUGAAUAUGAGGAUUUUUCAGCAAAAGAUGAUGGAGGUUGAUCUGUUGGGAUCCAAGAUUUGCAACAACAUCAGAGAUGCCAUGAUGGCUUGGCGAAGUAUCAAUUCCACGCAAGAGAACAAGGUCUUGUUCAGGGCUUGGGGAGUUCCUUUUCCACGGUUGAGUUCUACAGUA